GCAGGGUUGGGCCUGGUUAGUACUUGGAUGGGAGAAAGGAAUGAGCCGAUGCUGAGC
rnacentral:precursor_RNA from 1 species